rnacentral:rRNA from 1 species
UACGAAGGGUGCAAGCGUUACUCGGAAUUACUGGGCGUAAAGGGCGCGUAGGUGGUUUGUUAAGUCUGCUGUGAAAUCCCCGGGCUCAACCUGGGAAUGGCAGUGGAUACUGGCAAGCUAGAGUGCGGUAGAGGGUAGUGGAAUUCCCGGUGUAGCAGUGAAAUGCGUAGAGAUCAGCAGGAACACCCGUGGCGAAGGCGGCCCCCUGGGCCGAACCUGACGCUGAGGCGCGAAGGCUAGGGGAGCGAACGGG